GGAGGAUGUGAAACUGACUUACAAUAAUCAGCCAGCUGAAGCUUCCUGUAUCAAUGCCGCAGGGACAGUUUCUGGUUUCGUUCAGCCAUCAAGCUGUCUGUAGAUUGGGGCAAUGUCUAGUUUUAGGAUUUGAAUAAUAGUGCAUGGAGUCGUUUGAGCUUGGUCAUAGGUUGAUUAGAAAAUGGUUUGUUUGCCUGAGCCUGUGGCAUUAAGGCCCAAUUCUGCUUGGUUGGAGCCCGGC
rnacentral:misc_RNA from 1 species